rnacentral:rRNA from 1 species
GCUCAGAUUGAACGCUGGCGGCAGGCCUAACACAUGCAAGUCGAGCGGUAGAGAGAAGCUUGCUUCUCUUGAGAGCGGCGUAAUGCCUAGGAAUCUGCCUGGUAGUGGGGGAUAACGUUCGGAAACGGACGCUAAUACCGCAUACGUCCUACGGGAGAAAGCAGGGGACCUUCGGGCCUUGCGCUAUCAGAUGAGCCUAGGUCGGAUUAGCUAGUUGGUGGGGUAAUGGCUCACCAAGGCGACGAUCCGUAACUGGUCUGAGAGGAUGAUCAGUCACACUGGAACUGAGACACGGUCCAGACUCCUACGGGAGGCAGCAGUGGGGAAUAUUGGACAAUGGGCGAAAGCCUGAUCCAGCCAUGCCGCGUGUGUGAAGAAGGUCUUCGGAUUGUAAAGCACUUUAAGUUGGGAGGAAGGGCAGUUACCUAAUACGUGAUUGUUUUGACGUUACCGACAGAAUAAGCACCGGCUAACUCUGUGCCAGCAGCCGCGGUAAUACAGAGGGUGCAAGCGUUAAUCGGAAUUACUGGGCGUAAAGCGCGCGUAGGUGGUUUGUUAAGUUGGAUGUGAAAUCCCCGGGCUCAACCUGGGAACUGCAUUCAAAACUGACUGACUAGAGUAUGGUAGAGGGUGGUGGAAUUUCCUGUGUAGCGGUGAAAUGCGUAGAUAUAGGAAGGAACACCAGUGGCGAAGGCGACCACCUGGAC